CCUACGGGAGGCAGCAGUGGGGAAUAUUGGACAAUGGGGGAAACCCUGAUCCAGCGACGCCGCGUGAGUGAAGAAGUAUUUCGGUACGUAAAGCUCUAUCAGCAGGAAAGAAAAUGACGGUACCUGACUAAGAAGCCCCGGCUAACUACGUGCCAGCAGCCGCGGGAAUACGUAGGGGGCAAGCGUUAUCCGGAUUUACUGGGUGUAAAGGGAGCGUAGACGGCAGCGCAAGUCUGGAGUGAACUGCUGGGGCCCAACCCCGGAACUGCUCUGGAAAUUGUGAAGCUGGAGUGCAGGAGAGGUAAGCGGAAUUCCUGGUGUAGCGGGGAAAUGCGUAGAUAUCAGGAGGAACAACGGCGGCGAAGGCGGCUUACUGGACUGUAACUGACGUUGAGGCUCGAAGGCGUGGGGAGCAAACAGGAUUAGAUACCCGAGUAGUC
rnacentral:rRNA from 1 species